rnacentral:rRNA from 1 species
UACGUAGGGGGCAAGCGUUGUCCGGAUUUAUUGGGCGUAAAGAGCGUGUAGGCGGCCAUGUAGGUCCGUUGUGAAAACUCGAGCUCAACCUCGAGACGCCGAUGGAAACCGUGUGGCUAGAGUCCGGAAGAGGAGAGUGGAAUUCCCGGGUGUAGCGGUGAAAUGCGCAGAUAUCGAGAAGAACACCCGUGGCGAAGGCGGCUCUCUGGGACGGUACUGACGCUGAGACGCGAAAGC